rnacentral:rRNA from 1 species
UACGUAGGGGGCAAGCGUUGUCCGGAAUUAUUGGGCGUAAAGAGCUCGUAGGCGGUUUGUUGCGUCGGCUGUGAAAUCCCGAGGCUCAACCUCGGGUCUGCAGUCGAUACGAGCAAACUAGAGUGUUGCAGGGGAGACUGGAAUUCCUGGUGUAGCGGUGAAAUGCGCAGAUAUCAGGAGGAACACCGGUGGCGAAGGCGGUUCUCUGGGCCUUACCUGACGCUGAGGAGCGAAAGCAUGGGGAGCAAACAGG